rnacentral:rRNA from 1 species
AGAGUUGUAGUAGGGUUUGAUGCUGGCGUCCAAUUUUUGGACGCAUGUGCUUGCCCCUAACAAUCAUCUUCCAAACACCUGUGCACAUUUUUUGAGGGGGUUUUGAGUUGAUUGCCGCUUUUGGGUGAUUUUCUCGCAUUCCCUUAAAUCAUAUUUAUACACUAUUAACAAUGCUGAACGUGCUCUGUGCCGCAAGGCCAUUAAUAUAAUACAACUUUUAACAACGGAUCUCUUGGCUCUCGCAUCGAUGAAGAACGCAGCGAAAUGCGAUAAGUAAUGUGAAUUGCAGAAUUCAGUGAAUCAUCGAAUCUUUGAACGCACCUUGCGCUCCCUGGUAUUCCGGGGAGCACGCCUGUUCGAGUGUCGUGAAAUUUCUCAAGCUUGGAUGGCUUUUUUGUCUGUCCUUAGUCUUGGUUGUUGGGCUUUGCCGUGUCCUUCAUUGGUACGGCUGGUCUUAAAAGCAUUAGCUGAUCCUUGUGUGGCACUGGUUCUACUCAGCGUGAUAAUAAUCUGAUCGCUGAGGACAUCUUUUGGGAUGGCCAGUUCUCGUUUGGGUUGCUUCUAAACUUGGUUUUGCAGAUUGGUUCAGUCUGUGCUCCA